rnacentral:rRNA from 1 species
UUUAAAAGUUAUUUGCUUGGAAGCUAAGCAGGGUUGGGCCUGGCUAGUACUUGGAUGGGAGACCACCUAGGAAGACCAGGUGCUGUAGGCG